rnacentral:rRNA from 1 species
GACGAACGCUGGCGGCGUGCUUAACACAUGCAAGUUGAACGGUAAGGCCCUUCGGGGUACACGAGUGGCGAACGGGUGAGUAACACGUGGGUGAUCUGCCCUGCACUUCGGGAUAAGCCUGGGAAACUGGGUCUAAUACCGGAUAGGACCACUGCCUGCAUGGGUGGUGGUGGAAAGCUUUUGCGGUGUGGGAUGGGCCCGCGGCCUAGCAGCUUGUUGGUGGGGUGAUGGCCUACCAAGGCGACGACGGGUAGCCGGCCUGAGAGGGUGACCGGCCACACUGGGACUGAGAUACGGCCCAGACUCCUACGGGAGGCAGCAGUGGGGAAUAUUGCACAAUGGGCGCAAGCCUGAUGCAGCGACGCCGCGUGAGGGAUGACGGCCUUCGGGUUGUAAACCUCUUUCAGCACCGACGAAGCGCAAGUGACGGUAGGUGCAGAAGAAGGACCGGCCAACUACGUGCCAGCAGCCGCCGUAACAC